AUAUUUGUCGAGGAAUGCUGUGCUGCCAUCUCUUGUUUAUAUUUUCACUCCAUGGACUAAAGAAGUUAUUUCUUUAUUUGGUUGUCCUUGUUUUUGUCGAGGAAUGCUGUGCUGCCAUCUCUUGUGUAUCUUUUCACUCCAUGGACUAAAGAAGUUAUUUGUUUAUUUGGUUGUCCUUGUUUGAUUUUGUUUUCUUAACAUGGAGAGUCCCCGGCAUUUCUCUAAUCACUACCUGACACCUAGCCACCCGUAACAAACUCCUUUGACCUUGGUCAGUCUUCUCCAUUCUUGAUCCUAGACUCUAGACUAUUGGUCCUUGGAUCUUAUUUCAUCUUAAGACGCUCCUG